UACGUAGGGACCGAGCGUUGUCCGGAAUCAUUGGGCGUAAAGAGCGUGUAGGCGGCCUUUUAAGUCCUGCGUGAAAUCCUGCGGCUCAACCGCAGACGGUCGUGGGAAACUGGGAGGCUAGAGUGCGGGAGAGGAGAGUGGAAUUCCCGGUGUAGCGGUGAAAUGCGCAGAUAUCGGGAAGAACACCCGUGGCGAAGGCGGCUCUCUGGAACGCAACUGACGCUGAGACGCGAAAGCCAGGGGAGCAAACGGG
rnacentral:rRNA from 1 species